rnacentral:rRNA from 1 species
GACGAACGCUGGCGGCGUGCCUAAUACAUGCAAGUCGAGCGGACAGAAGGGAGCUUGCUCCCGGAAGUCAGCGGCGGACGGGAGAGUAACACGUGGGUAACCUGCCUAUAAGACUGGGAUAACUCCGGGAAACCGGGGCUAAUACCGGAUAAUAUCAAGAGCUGCAUGGCUUUUGGGUGAAAGGCGGCUUCGGCUGUCACAUAUAGAUGGACCCGCGGCGCAGUAGCUAGUUGGCGGGGUAACGGCCCACCAAGGCAACGAUGCGUAGCCGACCUGGGAGGGGGGUCGGCCACACUGGGACUGAGACACGGCCCAGACUCCUACGGGAGGCAGCAGUAGGGAAUCUUCCGAAAUGGACGAAAGUCUGACGGAGCAACGCCGCGUGAGUGAAGAAGGUUUUCGGAUCGUAAAGCUCUGUUGUCAGGGAAGAACAAGUACCGGAGUAACUGCCGGUACCUUGACGGUACCUGACCAGAAAGCCACGGCUAACUACGUGCCAGCAGCCGCAGUAA